CAGGUCUUGACAUCCCACUGACCGGCUUAGAGAUAGGCUUUUCCCUUCGGGGACAGUGGUGACAGGUGGUGCAUGGUUGUCGUCAGCUCGUGUCGUGAGAUGUUGGGUUAAGUCCCGCAACGAGCGCAACCCUUGAUCUUAGUUGCCAGCAUUCAGUUGGGCACUCUAAGGUGACUGCCGGUGAUAAACCGGAGGAAGGUGGGGAUGACGUCAAAUCAUCAUGCCCCUCAUGACCUGGGCUACACACGUGCUACAAUGGACGAUACAAAGGGCUGCAAACCCGCGAGGGGGAGCCAAUCCCAUAAAAUCGUUCUCAGUUCGGAUUGUAGGCUGCAACUCGCCUACAUGAAGCCGGAAUCGCUAGUAAUCGUGGAUCAGCAUGCCACGGUGAAUACGUUCCC
rnacentral:rRNA from 1 species